GAUGAACGCUGGCGGCGUGCCUAAUACAUGCAAGUCGAGCGAACGGACGAGAAGCUUGUUUCUCUGAUGUUAGCGGCGGACGGGUGAGUAACACGUGGAUAACCUACCUAUAAGACUGGGAUAACUUCGGGAAACCGGAGCUAAUACCGGAUGAUAUUUUGAACCGCAUGGUUCAAAAGUGAAAGACGGUCUUGCUGUCACUUAUAGAUGGAUCCGCGCUGCAUUAGCUAGUUGGUAAGGUAACGGCUUACCAAGGCAACGAUGCAUAGCCGACCUGAGAGGGUGAUCGGCCACACUGGAACUGAGACACGGUCCAGACUCCUACGGGAGGCAGCAGUAGGGAAUCUUCCGCAAUGGGCGAAAGCCUGACGGAGCAACGCCGCGUGAGUGAUGAAGGUCUUCGGAUCGUAAAACCCUGUUAUUAGGGAAGAACAUAUGUGUAAGUAACUGUGCACAUCUUGACGGUACCUAAUCAGAAAGCCACGGCUAACUACGUG
rnacentral:rRNA from 1 species